rnacentral:rRNA from 1 species
CCUACGGGAGGCUGCAGUGGGGAAUAUUGGACAAUGGGGGCAACCCUGAUCCAGCCAUGCCGCGUGUGUGAAGAAGGCCCUCGGGUUGUAAAGCACUUUCAGUGAGGAAGAACGCCUGGUGGUUAAUACCCAUCAGGAAAGACAUCACUCACAGAAGAAGCACCGGCUAACUCCGUGCCAGCAGCCGCGGUAAUACGGAGGGUGCGAGCGUUAAUCGGAAUUACUGGGCGUAAAGCGCGCGUAGGUGGCUUGAUAAGCCGGUUGUGAAAGCCCCGGGCUCAACCUGGGAACGGCAUCCGGAACUGUCAAGCUAGAGUGCAGGAGAGGAAGGUAGAAUUCCCGGUGUAGCGGUGAAAUGCGUAGAGAUCGGGAGGAAUACCAGUGGCGAAGGCGGCCUUCUGGACUGACACUGACACUGAGGUGCGAAAGCGUGGGUAGCAAACAGGAUUAGAUACCUAGUAGUC